rnacentral:rRNA from 2 species
UACGAAGGGGGCUAGCGUUGUUCGGAAUUACUGGGCGUAAAGCGCGCGCAGGCGGUCCUUCAAGUCAGAGGUGAAAGCCCAGAGCUCAACUCUGGAAUGGCCUUUGAGACUAGAGGACUUGGGUACGGGAGAGGUGAGUGGAAUUCCGAGUGUAGAGGUGAAAUUCGUAGAUAUUCGGAAGAACACCAGUGGCGAAGGCGGCUCACUGGCCCGUUACCGACGCUCAGGCGCGACAGCGUGGGGAGCAAACAGG